GACACAUAUGGUGAGAAAGCGUAGGUAGCAAACUGGACUUAGAUACCCUGGGUAGUGCACGCCGUAAACGAUGUCAACUAGCCGUUUGGGUCCCUUGAGGACUUAGUGGCGCAGCUAACGCAAUAAGUUGACCGCCUGGGGAGUACGGCCGCAAGGUUAAAACUCAAAUGAAUUGACGGGGGCCCGCACAAGCGGUGGAGCAUGUGGUUUAAUUCGAUGCAACGCGAAGAACCUUACCUACCCUUGACAUCCAGAGGACUUUCCAGAGAUGGAUUGGUGCCUUCGGGAACUCUGAGACAGGUGCUGCAUGGCUGUCGUCAGCUCGUGUUGUGAAAUGUUGGGUUAAGUCCCGUAACGAGCGCAACCCCUAUCCUUAUUUGCCAGCGAGUCAUGUCGGGAACUCUAAGGAGACUGCCGGUGACAAACCGGAGGAAGGUGGGGACGACGUCAAGUCAUCAUGGCCCUUACGGGUAGGGCUACACACGUGCUACAAUGGCAAGUACAAAGGGUUGCAAUACGGCGACGUGGAGCCAAUCCCAUAAAGCUUGCCUCAGUCCGGAUUGGAGUCUGCAACUCGACUCCAUGAAGUCGGAAUCGCUAGUAAUCGUGGAUCAGAAUGCCACGGUGAAUACGUUCCCGGGCCUUGUACACACCGCCCGUCACACCAUGGGAGUGGACUGCACCAGAAGUGGUUAGCC
rnacentral:rRNA from 1 species